UCCGGUUUGUCACCGGCAGUCUCCUAUGAGUCCCCGACAUUACUCGCUGGCAACAUAGGACAGGGGUUGCGCUCGUUGCGGGGCUUAACCCAACAUCUCACGACACGAGCUGACGACAGCCAUGCACCACCUGUACACCGACAAAAAGGGGCCCCAUCUCUGGGGCUUUCCGGCGUAUGUCAAACCCAGGUAAGGUGGGGAUGACGUGUCGUUACCUUA
rnacentral:misc_RNA from 1 species